GUUUCUCUAUUUGAACACGCACCUUCCAUUAAGUACAGACUAGAAACCCUAUUCUCUAAGGUUGAGACCGCCAGUUUUAAUGCAAUCGAGUGGUCAGAUUGAUCCAAAAACUCCAGGAUGGACACGAUGAUAAUCAAUUGCUCAUGCGUGAUUUGUGAUAGACAUUAGACAGUGGAUAUGAACUUUAAAAUAGUGUGCUUGAGUGGUCUAGCUUGAAUUGCAUUUUUGGAAUGGACUGGCUGUAGGCAACUGUGGUUAACAGACAUUAGGAAAAAAAUCACCUGUAUACUAAUAUGUGAAUUAUAGGUAGCUGAUGUCAAUUAACGCUUGGAAUGGUUCUCAUCAUUCAAUGUGGAAUUCAACUGGGCGAAACCAUAGUAAACUGGAGUACUGGACAUCUGACAACUAUAGGCAGCUUCUAUAUUAUGACUGCAUAUUAAAUAUGUUGUGGCGGUAUUGAAUUUCUUACUGUCAGCCUGGUGCUUCAAGCAAAUAAGUUGAAAUUGUUUUUCCGGAGUGGAGACACUGACCUGAAAAUAACAAAUGGGAUUGAAUUAUCCAUCUUGUAAAAGCAAUUAAGUUUGGUUUUAGUUUUUGAAUAUAAAACAUUGAACUGAGAACACACCUUUAAAGUAAAGAUGGAAAAUAGUAGGAAUCAUAGAAUUAAUUACAAAAAGCUGUUCUGUGUCAUGUGGUUGUAUGGAAAACUGUUUACAUGGAAAAUGCUAGAUAGCAAAUGAACGACGAUCUGAAGCACUGCAUAAAAGCUGGGUGCAGUUGAUUACAUAUUUUUGGCAACCAGUGGUCACAUCUACUCUUGUGUGCAGGGUGAGGACAAACAGGAGUGAACGUCAGUAGCUUAGUUUGCUAAUUCUGGGAGCUCAAGAUAUUUAAGAUCAUUACGUUAUGAGAGCUCAAGAUAUUGAUAUCCGAAACAAAUACCCACGAUGCAGAAGAGAAUGUAUUGUAAUGAAAUUUCUUAUCGUUCUAUGCAUUGCUAUGCUACUACACAAUUUGUUAUAUAAGACUUGUUGAUCCUCCGGGUACAAAUUCUACCCUGGCCAACAUUAGGGAGUUGCACAUAGAGUGAAGUAGCAAAUGUCAUUAUAUAUUAGUAUUAUUUUCCAUAUCAGUUAGUUAAGCCAAAUAUUUCUUUAUUAUUGUGCUUCACUAGUGAUACAUAAGGCAUUGAUAUUUGAAGGUGCAUAAGCUUCCACACCAACAGUCGAUCAUGAAUUGAUGCCUCAAAACAUUUUGUGCAUUCGAAAAUAGUACGAGAGCAUGGAACCAGUUCCUUCAGUGAAGAGAUACAUUGACUUUGUUGUCAUUAUACACACCCACUGCUACUUUGUUGCCUAUGUACGUGCCAGCAGUGUUGUACUGCUGUCCAAGUUCUUGCCAUUUCAAAUUUAUAUGCUACGGCUGCAUUUAGUUCAGAUGCUUGUUAUAGCUAAUUGCCAGCUUAGUUAAGCAUACGUUAUUUGCAUGUUCCAGCAGUGUUACCGGCUGAUGUCUAGAUAUUUAUUUUCAUAUUUCAUUUGCAACAAUCAGUCCAUGCUGGAGCAGAUGGAGAGCAUUGGUCAGAGCGUAGAAUCUACUGCUACAGUUGCGCUGGAAGAUGAUGCCAAUAGCAGUUUCACGGAUGCAAAGGAGUUGGUUUCCGGCAGUAUAGAUAGUUACAGUACACCAAGGAAAAGAAGUAGCAUGCCGAUCCAUAUUUACACAACAUAAGGGGAGUGAUGGUAAUACCAGUAUGGAAGCGUUUUACUUGUGCAUGGAAAGCAUGGAGGGAGGAGAAAACUGUAUUGAACUGUCAUGUGAAGAAGUCGAGGAAGAAAGUAAAGCUAACUAGUUUUUUUAAACAAAAAGCUAACUAGUUGUGGUUGUGAGGCCAUGAUUAGCUUGAGGAGAAGAGAUGAUGGAAACUAUGAGGUCCUCCGAUUCGUCUGUCAGCACACGCAUCAACUUGUCUCUACGAAUAAGAAACAAUUCACUAGAACUAACAGGGAGGUCAGUAGUGAAUUGAGGCGCACAUUCUUGACAUGUCACAAAGCAUUGAUGGGACCUUGCCAAAAAAAUUGGCGUGCACUAAUUGGGACCAAGAGAGGUACCUAGAGAAAUUGGUGUCAGACAGAGGUGCGAACUGGAGCCCCCAAUCAUCCAUGCUCAUUGGCCAACCAGCAUAAUAUUCAUUGAAGCAUUUGAACAAAAGUAGUCUGGUGCUUCCGUGCAAUGGCCAUGUCCCGCGCCUUGCCAUGGUGCUGGAAUGCAUUUGUUCUUUACAAAAGGGUCGAAAAAAUUGAUCGCUUUCGUUACCAUGCCCCAUACAAUGAUUACCCAGCCUUCUGGGCAUGGUACUGGGAUGAAGAACUGCAGUCCAAACAAAACCAUAACUGGUUAACGCUGGUCAAAGGGACGAAUCUGGGGCCGGCGUCAUCCAUAUCGCCCGACACUUUGACGGGUCAAGUUGAAGUUGCUGCUCACGAAGGUCAGUUUGUAGCCUCGAUAGCACAAUUCAGUUUUAUCUUUGUGUAAACCAGUUCAACCCUUUUUUGACACCCCGUAUGCAUGCUUGCACAACAUAAUGUCUCCAAAACCAAGAUGGAUACGCACGAGUGCAUGAAGCUCCAGGGCAAAUUCUCCACACUCUCCCAUGAUGCACUAUCUAGUCUUGGCACCAUCCGACUCUGUAUUCGACUCUUAGCAAGCCAGAUUAUGCCUGAACCACCAUAUCACUAGCCACUGCGAUUUCCAUAAUAUGUAGUUUGUCAGUUUGCAUUAUGUACCUUCAACCUUGUCACUGUUAUGUACCCUCAACCUUGUCACUCUUAAGUUAUUUCCAUGGAUGUCUGUCUUGCUCGACCCCACCUGCUUUCAUAAUUUCAUCACCCUACCUACUUAUUAUCAUGCUCUUUUCAAGAGGUCCGGUUUUGAUCUAAACCCUUGCCCCCAGUGUUGAUCCAUCUUCUGUGAUAUGCCUCCGAGUCGAAACAGGACAUCAGCAAGAACAUCCUGUUCUAAACGUCAUGCCCAACAGCUCAAAGAUGUAUCUCCCCC